rnacentral:rRNA from 1 species
GGUGGACGAAGGUGCCUGGUCGCAUCCAUUUGUGGGCUGAAACAAAUGGUGGCUGGUUGCAGCGCCCUGUGCCUGCUAGGCAGUUGGGGUGCAGCCGUGAUACGCAGACGAGGACAAAGUGCUUCUGUUCGACCCGUCUUGAAACACGGACCAAGGAGUCUGACACUCAUGCAAGCUCGCGGGUGGGUAAACUUGUUUGCGUAAUUAAGGUGUCUGUUGUGAUUGUUGUGCGCCAACGCCCGACCAAUCAAUCGAGAGAGGUUUGAUUUUGAGCAGUUCUGUCAGGACCCGAAAGAUGGUGAACUAUGCUUGAGAAGG